rnacentral:rRNA from 1 species
GAUUACAGUCAUACCACCCUGUCUGCGCCCGAUCUAGUCUGAUCUCGGAAGCUUAGCAGGGUCGGGCCUGCUUAGUACAUGGAUGGGAGUCUGCCUGGGAAUACCAGGUGCUGUAAUCU